rnacentral:lncRNA from 1 species
CAAAGCCUCUGCCUGCAGCAUGAUUCCCUUCACCUGGAGCAAUUCUGAACAAAGGUCUGCACUUUUGUCCUGUACGGGUCCCCUGCUAGCUGCUGGGGACCACUGGGCAGCUGCCUGAGGUGUGGAAAUGCUGGAAUGUGGAAGAGGAGGAACUGAGAGCUGAUGAAGAUCUGGGGAAGCUGAAGUGAGAUGUGACUCAACAGCAUAUCAUCCCUGGCUCAUAGGAAGAGGAUCUUGAACUCCCUUGGAAACUCUCUGGCA